AACGAACGCUGGCGGCAGGCUUAACACAUGCAAGUCGAACGGGUGUAGCAAUACAUCAGUGGCAGACGGGUGAGUAACACGUGGGAACCUUCCUAGGGGUACGGAACAACUCAGGGAAACUUGAGCUAAUACCGUAUACGUCCGUGAGGAGAAAGAUUUAUCGCCCUUAGACGGGCCCGCGUCGGAUUAGCUAGUUGGUGGGGUAACGGCCUACCAAGGCGACGAUCCGUAGCUGAUCUUAGAGGAUGAUCAGCCACACUGGGACGGAGACACGGCCCAGACUCCUACGGGAGGCAGCAGUGGGGAAUCUUGGACAAUGGGCGCAAGCCUGAUCCAGCCAUGCCGCGUGAGUGAGGAAGGUCUUCGGAUUGUACAGCUCUUUUGCCAGGGACGAUAAUGACGGUACCUGGAGAAUAAGCCCCGGCAAACUUCGUGCCAGCCGCCGCCGUAACAC
rnacentral:rRNA from 1 species